AUCAGGUCCCUCCUCUGACACGUGGGGAUUACAAUUGGAGAUGAGAUUUGGACAGGGACACAGAGCCAAACCAAAUCAGAUGCUCAGGAGCUUCCAGGUUCAACAGAUGCGUGAGAUCCAUAGCAGAAACAUUGCUGUCCUCUUCAGAUUCAAGUACGGGUGAAAGUCAAGCUCUGGGAUACUGGAGCAGGGCUAUAUAAUUCUCUUUCCCUUGUAAUUUCAUUAAAAAAGAUUAAGGAAACCCUUGAAAAGUUGUAGAUACCUAAAAUUUUGGCCGUGCAUUGAUCAUCCACAAAAAGUGAA
rnacentral:lncRNA from 1 species